UGCGUAGGCGGUUCGGUAAGUCUUACGUGAAAUCUUCAGGCUCAACUUGAAGUCUGCAUGAGAAACUGCCGGGCUUGAGUGUGGGAGAGGUGAGUGGAAUUUCCGGUGUAGCGGUGAAAUGCGUAGAUAUCGGAAGGAACACCUGUGGCGAAAGCGGCUCACUGGACCAUAACUGACGCUGAUGCACGAAAGCUAGGGGAGCAAACAGGAUUAGAUACCCUGGUAGUCCUAGCCCUAAACGAUGAUCGCUUGGUGUGACGGGUACCCAAUCCCGCCGUGCCGAAGCUAACGCGUUAAGCGAUCCGCCUGGGGAGUACGGUCGCAAGGCUGAA
rnacentral:rRNA from 1 species